AACGAACGCUGGCGGCAGGCUUAACACAUGCAAGUCGAACGCCCCGCAAGGGGAGUGGCAGACGGGUGAGUAACGCGUGGGAAUCUACCGUACCCUACGGAACAACAGUUGGAAACGACUGCUAAUACCGUAUACGCCCUACGGGGGAAAGAUUUAUCGGGGUAUGAUGAGCCCGCGUUGGAUUAGCUAGUUGGUGGGGUAAAGGCCUACCAAGGCGACGAUCCAUAGCUGGUCUGAGAGGAUGAUCAGCCACAUUGGGACUGAGACACGGCCCAAACUCCUACGGGAGGCAGCAGUGGGGAAUAUUGGACAAUGGGCGCAAGCCUGAUCCAGCCAUGCCGCGUGAGUGAUGAAGGUCUUAGGAUCGUAAAGCUCUUUCACCGAUGAAGAUAAUGACGGUAGUCGGAGAAGAGGCCCCGGUUAACUUCGUGCCAGCAGCCGCAGUAA
rnacentral:rRNA from 1 species